rnacentral:rRNA from 1 species
UACAGAGGUCUCAAGCGUUUGUUCGGAUUCAUUGGGCGUAAAGGGCGCGUAGGCGGCGGGGUAAGUCGGGUGUGAAAUCUCAGAGCUCAACUCUGAAACUGCACUCGAUACUGCUUUGCUAGAGGACUGGAGAGGAGAUUGGAAUUCACGGUGUAGCAGUGAAAUGCGUAGAUAUCGUGAGGAAGACCAGUGGCGAAGGCGGAUCUCUGGACG